rnacentral:piRNA from 1 species
UGGGAAGCAACAGAGUCUGGAAAGGCC